GGGACUAUAGCUCAGUGUUAGAGUUUUUGUCUCAUAUGCAAGAAACCCUAGGUUCAAUCCUCUGUCCUG
rnacentral:tRNA from 1 species